GUGAGGAAUUUUCCGCAAUGGGCGAAAGCCUGACGGAGCAAUGGCGCGUGAAGGAUGAAGGCCUAUGGGUUGUAAACUUCUUUUCUCAGAAAAGAAUUAUGACGGUAUCUGAGGAAUAAGCAUCGGCUAACUCUGUGCCAGCAGCCGCGGUAAGACAGAGGAUGCAAGCGUUAUCCGGAAUGAUUGGGCGUAAAGCGGCUGUAGGUUGUUUAAAAAGUAUUCUGUCAAAGAUUAGGGCUUAACCCUAGAUAGGCAGAAUAAACUUUUAAGCUAGAGUUUGGUAGAGGCAGAGGGAAUUCCCGGUGGAGCGGUGAAAUGCGUAGAUAUCGGGAGGAACACCAAAGGCGAAGGCACUCUGCUGGGCCAAUACUAACACUGAGAGACGAAAGCGAGGGGAGCAAAUGGGAUUAGAAACCCUGGUAGUCC
rnacentral:rRNA from 1 species